rnacentral:rRNA from 1 species
CCUACGGGAGGCAGCAGUGAGGAAUAUUGGUCAAUGGGCGGGAGCCUGAACCAGCCAAGUAGCGUGAAGGAAGAAGGUACUUAGUAUUGUAAACUUCUUUUGUCGGGGAACAAAGGCGGAGACGCGUCUCCGGAUGAGUGUACCCGAAGAAAAAGCAUCGGCUAACUCCGUGCCAGCAGCCGCGGUAAUACGGAGGAUGCGAGCGUUAUCCGGAUUUAUUGGGUUUAAAGGGAGUGCAGGCGGGAGAUCAAGUCAGCGGUAAAAUGUCGGGGCUCAACCCCGGCCGGCCGUUGAAACUGGUUGUCUAGAGUUGGAUAGAGGUAUGCGGAAUUCGUGGUGUAGCGGUGAAAUGCAUAGAUAUCACGAAGAACUCCGAUUGCGAAGGCAGCAUACCGGCUCCAUACUGACGCUGAGGCACGAAAGCGUGGGGAUCGAACAGGAUUAGAUACCCCUGUAGUC